GCGAGAAGCACCCAGGUGCACCGCGCCCACGCCCGGCCCGAGCAGGAAGCUCAAGCCCCUCAGGACCAACUGAAACCAAGCGCGGCCCCGCUGCGCCUGCCGCCGCCAGGGCCUCCGAGAAGCUGUACGAGACCGAGGGCCUUACCAAAUACUCCGAGGAGCUGGCUACAGCGGCGAUCACCCGGGAAGGAACACACCGGACAAGUGGAAGG